ACCUGUGAGCUCAGUGGCAGAGCAUUCGACUGCAGAUCGAGAGGUCCCCGGUUCAACUCCGGGUGCCCCCUAGUUC
rnacentral:tRNA from 16 species